rnacentral:lncRNA from 1 species
AUAUUUUCAUCCUAAAGUCGUCUGUCUGACCGCCGCACCCACCUGCAGCAUGAAAAAUGCAGACCGCGCCACAAUGAUCUCUGUCGGGACCCACCGGUCCCGAUGCGUCCCACGUGAAUCUAGCCCUACAGUGCAGUCAGUACACAAUGCUUAUUAUGUCUUAUGAGGAUCAGAUGGUGUCAUGACUGUCCUGUGAGGCUCAGAAUGGGUCAGAUCAGUUUGGUGGGGAAUGACAGUAACCCAGUAAACACAGAGGGGGGGAGGGAGAUGCCAGAUGGUUGACAAUUCACACCUUGUUGUAAAUUACAGCAGAAGAAGACUCUUUCUUCCCCUCCAGUAUGAACAAAAGGAAUGUCUUUGUUAACAAACUUUUCCCGCCGAAACAUUAACACGUUCAAAAGUGAACAUAAGAAUUUGGUGAAUGGUCAGUGGGGAGCUAUAGAAAACUAAUGUCAUAUUGGUUUUUAUUGUGUGAUAAAAUUGGUAUAAAGGAAAUACUUGGAAAGUUACAGUGGUUCCUCCAUUAAAAGUUGCACCUUGCGGGCUGCCGCAGCAUUCUGUGGCACGUAAUUUCAUUGUCAGCCAUUUUUUUCUGUUAAUGCAAGUUAGUGCUAGUUUGACCACCAGAUGGCAUCUUUGUAGAAGCAUUCAAUAUUCUUCCAUAUUUCAGGCACGCAGGAGACCGGGGUUCAAAUCCCCGACCGGGAGGAAGGAGUAGGCUCUCCUUGUAAUUAAGAAUUUGUUCUUAACUGAUUCCAUAUGUGUUAUUUCAUAGUUGUGAUGUCUUCACUAUUAUUCUACAAUGUAGAAAAUAGAAAAAUCCUGGAAUGAGUAGGGUGUCCUUUUAAAUAGUAGGUGUGUCCAAACUUUUGACUGGUACUUGCUUAAUUCAUUUGAUUAAUAUUAUGGUGUUUCUAUUCCAUGAAAAACGAAAAACCCUCUGAGUAAAUUCAGACCUUUUCGCUCUCGGAGCGCACACUGGACAUUCGGUUCGAGGAGUAGGGUUGAUUUGAACUGUCUGGCCUUACAAUGGCAGUCAAGCACCCAAGCUAACAUUGGCUUAACGUUGGCUAGCUUGAUAGCUACUUCCAGACACAAAUGAGACCACAAUGACCAUUUUGCUCGCCCUAUCAGAGCUGGUUAGGCAGCUUGUGUUAACCAGAGCAUUGGUGAUUGUAACGGUGCGGCUGGAAACAAUUUAACCUGUUAGGGCUAGGGGGCAGUAUUGACACG